GUGGCAGCAGCCGCGGUAAAACCAGCACCUCAAGUGGUCAGGAGGAUUAUUGGGCCUAAAGCAUCCGUAGCCUGCUCUGUAAGUUUCCGGUUAAAUCCAUUUGCUCAACAAAUGGGCUGCCGGAAAUACUGUAGAGCUAGGGAGUGGGAGAGGUAGACGGUACUCGGUAGGAAGGGGUAAAAUCCUUUGAUCUAUUGAUGACCACCUGUGGCGAAGGCGGUCUACCAGAACACGUUCGACGGUGAGGGAUGAAAGCUGGGGGAGCAAACCGGAUUAGAUACCCGGGUAGUCCCAGCUGUAAACGAUGCAGACUCGGUGAUGCGCUGGCUUGUGGCCAGUGCAGUGCCGCAGGGAAGCCGUUAAGUUUGCCGCCUGGGAAGUACGUACGCAAGUAUGAAACUUAAAGGAAUUGGCGGGGGAGCACCACAAGGGGUGGAGCCUGCGGUUCAAUUGGAGUCAACGCCAGAAAUCUUACCCGAGGAGACAGCAGAAUGAAGGUCAAGCUGGAGACUUUACCAGACAAGCUGAGAAGUGGUGCAUGGCCGUCGCCAGCUCGUGCCGUGAGAUGUCCUGUUAAGUCAGGUAACGAGCGAGAUCCCUGCCUCUAGUUGCCACCAUUACUCUCAGGAGUAGUGGGGCGAAUUAGCGGGACCGCCACAGUUAAUGUGGAGGAAGGAAGGGGCCACGGCAGGUCAGUAUGCCCUGAAACCUUGGGGCCACACGCGGGCUGCAAUGGUAGUGACAAUGAGUUCCUAAACCGAAAGGUGGAGGUAAUCUUCAAACGCUACCACAGUUAUGAUUGAGGGCUGCAACUCGUCCUCAUGAAUAUGGAAUCCCUAGUAACUGCGUGUCAUUACCGCGCGGUGAAUACGUCCCUGCUCCUUGCACACACCGCCCGUC
rnacentral:rRNA from 1 species